UCACUUCUAAGGUUCAAUGCGUUUGCAAAUUAGGUUCAAACGUUUUUGUAAAUCAUGGUGUUUGUUUUGCAAGAAGGAUGAUCCUUACUCCUCCUCCUCCGUAGACGCUCUACUUCAAUAUGAUUCUGUUGUUUCUCUUGUUAAGGUUGUUUUUUAAUUAAAGAUGACAAAUUCAUCAAUCUUUGUCAAGAUCUAUGGAAAAGUGAGAUAAAUAGACAAAUAUUGUUGGUCUUUUUGUUUUGCAACAAGGAUGAUCCUUACUCCUCCUCCUCCGUAGACGCUCCAUUUCAACAUGAUUUCGUUGUUUCUUGUUAAGGGUGUUCUUUAAUUAAAGAUGACAAAUUCAUUGAUCUUCGUCGAGAUCUAUGAAAAAGUGAUAUAAAUAGACAAAAAUUGUUGGUGUCUUUGUUUUGCAAGAAGGAUGAUCUUUACUCCUCCUCCGUAGACGCUCUACUUCAAUAUGAUUCUAUUGUUUCUCUUGUUGAGGGUGCUCUUAAAUUAAAGAUGACAAAUUCAUCAAUCUUCGUCAAGAUCUAUGCAAAAGUGAUAUAAAUAGACAAAAAUUAUUGGUCUUUUUGUUUUGCAACAAGGAUGAUCCUUACUCCUCCUCCUCCGUAGACGCUCCAGUUCAACAUGAUUUCGUUGUUUAUUGUUGAGGGUGCGCUUUAAUUAAAGAUGACAAAUUCAUCAAUCUUCGUCAAGAUCUAUGCAAAAGUGAUAUAAAUAGACAAAAAUUGUUGGUGUCUUUGUUUUGCAACAAGGAUGAUCCUUUCUAGUACUACUCCGUAGACGCUCCACUCCGACGCUCCACUUCAACAUGAUUAUGUUGUUUCCCUUUUUGAGGGUUCAACCGAGUUUGCAAAUCAGGAUGUUUUUAAUUGAAGAUAGCAAAUUCAUCAAACUUUAUCAAGAUCUAUGCAAAAGUGAUAUAAAUAGACAAAAAUUGUUGGUGUCUUUGUUUUGCAACAAGGAUGAUCCUUGCUACUACUACUCCGUUGACGCUCCACUUCAACAUGAUUAUGUUGUUUCUCCUGUUGAGGUAAUCCCCCUUGAAUCAACUAUGAUCAAUUUAGUACGGUAAUGAGAUUUGUAAAUCGAAUAUUCCUAUUUGGAGAAGAAUCAACAAAAUAGCUAAUUACAUAAAGACA